rnacentral:lncRNA from 1 species
AGAUAUUAAGGCAUGUUAUUUACUGAUUUUUAGACUUAGGCAAAAUAGGCGAUUAAGAUUUGGUUUAUAGCUCUUAUUGGCAUGCUUUCUAGGUACUAAAUGAUUUGAAACGUUAUAAGUCGAAAUAAAAGUACAAGAGUCUUAUAGGCAUAGUGUCUAGAAAGUUGUUUGUUAUUUAAACCUAUAAAUAUGUUGCCUAGUGAUAGAUGCAUAUGCAGAAUUCUGGAAGUCCUAUAGCCAUGUUAUCUAUCUUGUAUGCGGAAAUAUGGAAAUCUACAGGCAUGGUUUCUAUAUGUAAUGCAGGAAGCUAUAGACAUGGUUUCUAUAUGAGAAUGUAGAAUCUAUAAACGGGAUUAGUAUAUGAAAUGCAGAACCUAUAAACAUGUUUUCUAGUUAAUACGAAAUUUAGAAACUUAUAAGCGUGAUUUCUAUAUAAAAUGCAAAACUUAUGAACAUGGUUUAUAUGAAAUAUGUAACCUAUAAACAUGAUUUCUAUGUGAAACAUGCAGAACUGAAAAUAGGACAAUGAUUACUGCAACGUAUUAAAUCCUUAUGAACAUGAUAUCUACCCCUUUCAUGGAUGAUGUACCCUCCCCUUUUCACUAAAAUUCCAAUAGUUAUUACAAGAUUAUUAGAACUCAUAAUUGAAUAAAAAAAGGAAGUAAAAUUACAUAUGAAAAAAAAACUAAAAAAUCUCAAACCAAGGAGAGCCUGAUUCAAUCUUUUGUCUAAGGCAUGAAGUAAACCAACUCCAAGGAUCGAAUUCCCAAAGCCUUUCUCAUUUUGGGUAUGUCAGAGUUCUCAAGAGCCUCAUGAACUACAUGCAAUGUUCACACCUAAAUAAUAGUGCAGUGUAGAAGGGUCAUCCCUCAAAUGUCCCAGUUCAAAGAGAACUCAAGGUCCCAAAGCAAGGCUCAUAGGGGGCAGAACUUAGAAACUAGGAGAGAGUGUAAGUGCAAUAGAGGGGAUUCUGGGAAAAGCCAAGACAUGAUGGUGGUCAUACCUAGCAAUUGAAAGUGUUGGCACCCCAACCAGCCUAUUAUCCAUAUUGCUAGGGAGUUAGGAUCCCUUAAAGGACCAAGUACAGACAUGAGCAACAAUUUGGGUAUUGCCAUGUUAUGAAACUAAAUCAAAAAAUACAGGGAAUAGGGGUGCAGUGAUUCACAGUAGGAGCAUAUUCAAAGAAAUUGAAAUUGUUGGUUUACAAUAAACAUGGGAAGUAAUGCAGACAGGGGUGUAGGGAUUCACAGUAGAAAACAUAUGUAAAGGAAUUGACAUUAACAUUAAACAUAGAUAGUAAAACAGACAUGGAUGUAGAAACUGUAAAAUAAACACAUUGGGAUGAGGCUAAAUACCAAUCUAGAACAUACCAGUUUCAGAGAAGCAAGAAAAGAAAACCGUAGUCUUGAAAACCCAAAGUGCGAGCAAGUAAUCAGUACGCUAUGAUUUUAGGAGAGAACUAUGAGUAGUGCAAAAGUAUGGGAUUCAGAGUAUGUGAUUGAAAAGUUGGUUGUAUUAACCGUGUCUUGUGUCAAAUAAGGUGGUGUAUUUAUAGUACAGAAAGCAAGAAGAAAUAUGUAGAAGAAUAAUUUUAAAAAUUAAUUACAAAAGGUUUCCCUUUGAUUAAGCGAUUCUGAUUUCAAACAGAUAAAAUGAUUAAGGCAAGAAGAUGAUCAAACACUUUUCUAAAGCAGUAUAAGAAGGGUAAAUACAUUAUUUAUUUAAGAAAAAGGUUUAAUAGCACGCGGCUUUUGCAAAAUAAGGAAAGGCAAUCAAUCAACAUCCAGUAAAAUCAGCAAUUUAAGAUUUCAUGUGAAUGAACCAAGUCCAGAGGAUGGAAAAUUUUGAUCUAAGGAAAAUCAGUACUAAUCAAUCAAGCCUAAUGAAAAGGAUUCAGAAUCAAACAUAAGUUAGAAAACUUUUUCCAUAAUACAGAGUUCAUCACAUAUAAAACAUAUAGCCAUACUUAAACACGAAGAACUAUUAUGCUAAUUAGUAGAAGAGUCUAGUAUAAAAAAUCUCAGAGUCACAAACAAAGAAGUUCAAGGUCAAUUUAUAGACUCAAAAUGAGUCUAAGGGUCAAAGGUUCCAAAGUAGAAGUCAAACACAAAAUCAACCUCAUCAAAACCCCCAAAUUCUAGGGUUUCUAAGUCAAACCAGAUACAGAGACGAGGAGCCAAGUAAUUGAAACAGGCUCAGAGAUCUCUUUCAAAGACUCAUGAGAAAACAAACAGAAACAAUAUCAAAUUCAAAGCAAAUAGAGUGAAGAAGCUGAUUUAAAGCAUAGUGAGAAUAGAAGGAACACGUUUUAAGAAACGUUUGGAACUUAAACAAGUUCAAAAGAGAAAAAGAGGCAAUAUAACACUUAGGAAAAUAGUAUAGGAAACAUGUUUAACAGAGCUUCAAACAAAGCCCAGAAGAAAGUAAAUAAAGAACAUAAAACUCAGUAGGAAACACAUACCAUAAAAAAGCUCAACAUACCAGAAAAAUAUAUCAACAAGGCAUAUAGAAAAAUACAACAAGAUGAACAUGUGAGCCUGGUGUAGAAGCACACUCGAACACAAAGCACAAGUGAAUCAUAUAUAGUAGAAAGAAAGCAAAAGAAAGGACGUGCGUGGUAGAAAAGAAAACAUACGAGCAUAAUAUAGACGAAUACAUACAAAGAAAGAAGAGGAAGAGUCAGAAAAAUAUUUUAUACUUUCCAGAAACCCUAGAUCAGAAAGAAGUAAUUUUGAAGGAAAAAAUUGGGGAAAGCAUUUUAAAACUUCGGUAAAGCAUAGAUAUAGCAUAGAUUUAAGAAAAUAAUCAGAGAAAACCUCAAAUGCCUGGGGUUUCAGAGGAAUCCUAGAAUGAGAAAGGUUUGAAAAAUGUCAGAUCUUGAGUUGGAUGAGUCAAGACCGGGCUCGAUACGCUAUAGGUACGUUGGAACAAAGCCGGAGAAGCAAUAGAACCCUGAAUCAGAGAAAUUAUGAACGGACAAAAUCGAGGUCAGACCUCGAAGCUCCGAACACCCAACAUUUAAAGGUGGAGGGGGAGGUGAGCAUAGGCCAUCCAUGGCCUGAGAAGCCAUGGAUACUGGUGAGAUGGCUGUUGAAAGUGGUAAAAGAGGAUUAGGGUUUCAAGAACAUUUGAGAGAGUUUGAGAGACGAAGGGAUUUCAAGGCAGC